GUGAGACAGAGAUCCACUUCAUCCUUCCAACAGGCAAGCAAGUCCAGUGGAAUUGUACCCUUCCAGUGUCCUAUUGCAAAGCAGACCUUGAUGAAUCUUCGGAUGCUGCAGACUAUCUUCCAGUCUCAUG